ACUCCUACGGGAGGCAGCAGUGAGGAAUAUUGGUCAAUGGAGGGAACUCUGAACCAGCCAUCCCGCGUGUAGGAAGACGGCCUUAUGGGUUGUAAACUACUUUUAUACGAGGAAGAAACGUACCCUCGUGAGGGUGCCUGACGGUACUGUAGGAAUAAGCACCGGCUAACUCCGUGCCAGCAGCCGCGGUAAUACGGAGGGUGCGAGCGUUAUCCGGAUUUAUUGGGUUUAAAGGGUCCGUAGGCGGAUUAAUAAGUCAGUGGUGAAAUCCCAUCGCUUAACGAUGGAACUGCCAUUGAUACUGUUAGUCUUGAAUGAGGGUGCAGUGGUUGGAAUGUGUAGUGUAGCGGUGAAAUGCAUAGAUAUUACACAGAACACCGAUUGCGAAGGCAGAUCACUAACCCUAAAUUGACGCU
rnacentral:rRNA from 1 species